rnacentral:snoRNA from 1 species
AAGAUCAUACUUCACAGGAUCAUUUCUGUAGUAGAUCUUCGCAUACUCUCUACUCAAACGUAGAGUUGUCGCAACCAUGAGGAUGAGUUGAGGUUUCGUUUCUUGAGCGUGAGGCAGAUAAAUUGUUGAAGUUACUUUUCUACAUUAGUCAUCGAUGAUCGUUCACUCUUCGGAAUUAUCCGUGUAGAAUAGAAACGAGACAUUCUGAGUGGU